GUGGUACCAUCAAGUCUUUUGACUAUUGAUCAAAAGAUUUUUUCCCACUUGACAGAGCUUUACGACCCGAAGGCCUUCUUCGCUCACGCGGCGUUGCUGCGUCAGGGUUUCCCCCAUUGCGCAAAAUUCCUCA
rnacentral:rRNA from 1 species